rnacentral:tRNA from 1 species
GCCCGGCUAGCUCAGUCGGUAGAGCAUCUGACUUUUAAUCUGAGGGUCAUGGGUUCGAGUCCCAUGUUGGGCG